rnacentral:rRNA from 1 species
ACGUGUGACUAUAUCAACACUAAUGUAUUAGACCCCAUCAGAAUUUUGAAGUUAAGUGUGAUUAGGCGAGAGUAGUAUUAGAAUGUGUGACUUCCUGAAAAGUCUUUAUGUUGUACCCC